rnacentral:tRNA from 1 species
GGUGAGGUGGGUGAGUGGCUUAAACCACCAGUUUGCUAAACUGACGUACGGGAAACUGUACCGAGGGUUCGAAUCCCUCCCUCACCG